AUGACGGCGCCGAGGAGGUGGAGGUUCGCGAUGGUCUGCUCGUCGAACAUGAACCGGAGCAUGGAGGCGCACGCGGUGCUGGGCCGCGCGGCACUCGACGUCGAGUCCUACGGCACCGGCUCCCAGGUGAAGCUCCCAGGCCCGUCGAUGCACGAGCCCAACGUCUACGACUUCGGCACCCCUUACGGCGGCAUCUACGACGACCUCCGCCGCAAGGACCCCGACCUGUACAAGAGGAACGGCCUACUGCCAAUGCUGAAGAGGAACAUCUCGGUGAAGCUGGCGCCGCAGAGGUGGCAGGAUAACGCCGGUGAUGGGGUGUUUGAUAUGAUACUCACCUUUGAGGAGAGGGUCUNNNNNNNNNNNNNNNNNNAUAUGAAUAACCGUGAACAGAGGUUAUUGAAGAGCGUGCUGAUAAUCAAUAUGGACGUGAAAGAUAACCAUGAAGAAGCUGCUAUUGGGGCGAAGCUUGCUUUAGAUUUAUGCCACAAGCUUGAAGCAGUGGCUGGUGAUUGGGAGGAAAUAAUCGAUGACCUGAUUGCUGCAUUCGAGAAGCAGCACAAGCGGAAGCUCACAUACUACAUCUCGUUUUACUGA
rnacentral:rRNA from 1 species